rnacentral:rRNA from 1 species
ACUCCUACGGGAGGCAGCAGUGGGGAAUAUUGCACAAUGGGCGCAAGCCUGAUGCAGCGACGCCGCGUGGGGGAUGAAGGCCUUCGGGUUGUAAACUCCUUUCGCUAGGGACGAAGCUUUUUUGUGACGGUACCUAGAUAAGAAGCACCGGCUAACUACGUGCCAGCAGCCGCGGUAAUACGUAGGGUGCGAGCGUUGUCCGGAAUUACUGGGCGUAAAGGGCUCGUAGGUGGUUUGUCGCGUCGUCUGUGAAAUUCUGGGGCUUAACUCCGGGCGUGCAGGCGAUACGGGCAUAACUUGAGUGCUGUAGGGGUAACUGGAAUUCCUGGUGUAGCGGUGAAAUGCGCAGAUAUCAGGAGGAACACCGAUGGCGAAGGCAGGUUACUGGGCAGUUACUGACGCUGAGGAGCGAAAGCAUGGGUAGCGAACAGGAUUAGAAACCCCAGUAGUCCC